AGCUCCAAUAGCGUAUAUUAAAGUUGUUGCAGUUAAAAAGCUCGUAGUUGGAUUUCCGAGGCAAGGGAUUAGUCCGACCUUUGGUGGGUAUUUAAUCCUCUUGCCUCGUCCUUGAGUGGUGCUUCUUGGUAUUAAGUUAUCGAGGAGAUAGCCGCUCAUCGUUUACUGUGAGAAAAUUAGAGUGUUCAAAGCAGGCUUAUGCCGUUGAAUAUAUUAGCAUGGAAUAAUAAGAUAGGACCUCGGUACUAUUUUGUUGGUUUGAGAACCAAGGUAAUGAUGAAUAGGGACAGUUGGGGGUAUUCGUAUUCAGUUGUCAGAGGUGAAAUUCUUAGAUUUACGGAAGACGAACUACUGCGAAAGCAUUUACCAAGGAUGUUUUCA
rnacentral:rRNA from 1 species